rnacentral:rRNA from 1 species
UACGUAGGGGGCAAGCGUUGUCCGGAAUCAUUGGGCGUAAAGCGCGUGUAGGCGGUCCGGUAAGUCCGCUGUGAAAGUCGGGGGCUCAACCCUCGGAUGCCGGUGGAUACUGUCGGGCUUGAGUACGGAAGAGGCGAGUGGAAUUCCUGGUGUAGCGGUGAAAUGCGCAGAUAUCAGGAGGAACACCAACGGCGAAGGCAGCUCGCUGGGACGGUACUGACGCUAAGGCGCGAAAGCGUGGGGAGCGAACAGG